UCUGGUGGCGAUGGCGAAGGGGACACACCCGUUCCCAUACCGAACACGGAAGUUAAGCCCUUCAGCGCUGAUGGUACUUGGGGCGCGAGCCCCUGGGAGAGUAAGACGCUGCCAGAA
rnacentral:rRNA from 1 species